rnacentral:rRNA from 1 species
UGGGGAAUAUUGCACAAUGGAGGGAACUCUGAUGCAGCGACGCCGCGUGAGUGAUGAAGGAAUUCGUUUCGUAAAACUCUGUUCUAUGGGAAGAAAAGGACUGUACCAUAGGAGAAAGCUCCGGCUAAAUACGUGCCAGCAGCCGCGGUAAUACGUAUGGAGCGAGCGUUGUCCGGAAUUAUUGGGCGUAAAGGGUGCGCAGGCGGCUUUACAAGUUGGAUGUGAAAUAUUGUGGCUCAACCACAAACGUGCAUCCAAAACUGCAAAGCUUGAGUUAAGGAGAGGUAAGGGGAAUUCCUGGUGUAGCGGUGGAAUGCGUAGAUAUCAGGAGGAAUACCGGUGGCGAAGGCGACUUACUGGACUUAAACUGACGCUCAGGCACUAAAGCGUGGGGAGCAAACAGG